rnacentral:tRNA from 1 species
GGGGCAGUGGCGGAAUUGGCAUACGCAGCGGACUUAAAAUCCGCCAGGCUAAAACCUAUGUGGGUUCGAGUCCCACCUGCCCCA